rnacentral:rRNA from 1 species
UACGGAGGGUGCAAGCGUUAUCCGGAUUUAUUGGGUUUAAAGGGUCCGUAGGCGGACUCGUAAGUCAGUGGUGAAAUCUCAUGGCUUAACUAUGAAACUGCCAUUGAUACUGCGGGUCUUGAGUAAGGUAGAGGUAGCUGGAAUAAGUAGUGUAGCGGUGAAAUGCAUAGAUAUUACUUAGAACACCAAUUGCGAAGGCAGGUUACCAUGUCUUAACUGACGCUGAUGGACGAAAGCGUGGGGAGCGAACAGG